rnacentral:lncRNA from 1 species
CUGGGAAGUCCUCGUGUUGCAUUCCUUUUAGUAGUAUGUUUCUCCAGAAGAAAGGUCUUUCUUUUUAUUUUUGGCCGUUCCUUUGUCAUAUUUUCUCCGCGUUCCUAGGCGGCGCCGUCGAAGGAGCUAUGGGCGGGCCGUACACGGAGGCGUUUGUUUUUUCAAAAGAAAGGUCUUUCUUUUUAUUUUUGGCCGUUCCUUUGUCAUAUUUUCUCCGCGUUCCUAGGCGGCGCCGUCGAAGGAGCUAUGGGCGGGCCGUACACGGAGGCGCGGGCAUAAAGGGGAGGAGAACGCACGGUAUGUCGGAUGCGAUCAUACCAGCACUAAAGCACCGGAUCCCAUCAGAACUCCGAAGUUAAGCGUGCUUGGGCGAGAGUAGUACUAGGAUGGGUGACCUCCUGGGAAGUCCUCGUGUUGCAUUCCUUUUUGUUGUUCUGUAUUUUCAAAAGAAAGGUCUUUCUUUUUAUUUUUGGCCGUUCCUUUGUCAUAUUUUCUCCGCGUUCCUAAGCGGCGCCGUCUUAAUGAGCUAUGGGCGGGCCGUACACGGAGGCGUUUGUUUUUUCAAAAGAAAGGUCUUUCUUUUUAUUUUUGGCCGUUCCUUUGUCAUAUUUUCUCCGCGUUCAUAAGCAGCGCCGUCGAAGGAGCUAUGGGCGGGCCGUACACGGAGGCGCGGGCAUAAAGGGGAGGAGAACGCACGGUAUGUCGGAUGCGAUCAUACCAGCACUAAAGCACGGGAUCCCAUCAGAACUCCGAAGUUAAGCGUGCUUGGGCGAGAGUAGUACUAGGAUGGGUGACCUCCUGGGAAGUCCUCGUGUUGCAUUCCUUUUUUUUGUUUGUUUUUUCAAAAGAAAGGUCUUUCUUUUUAUUUUUGGCCGUUCCUUUGUCAUAUUUUCUCCGCGUUCCUAGGCGGCGCCGUCGAAGGAGCUAUGGGCGGGCCGUACACGGAGGCGUUUGUUUUUUCAAAAGAAAGGUCUUUCUUUUUAUUUUUGGCCGUUCCUUUGUCAUAUUUUCUCCGCGUUCCUAGGCGGCGCCGUCGAAGGAGCUAUGGGCGGGCCGUACACGGAGGCGCGGGCAUAAAGGGGAGGAGAACGCACGGUAUGUCGGAUGCGAUCAUACCAGCACUAAAGCAGCGGAUCCCAUCAGAACUCCGAAGUUAAGCGUGCUUGGGCGAGAGUAGUACUAGGAUGGGUGACCUCCUGGGAAGUCCUCGUGUUGCAUUCCUUUUUUUUGUUUGUUUUUUCAAAAGAAAGGUCUUUCUUUUUAUUUUUGGCCGUUCCUUUGUCAUAUUUUCUCCGCGUUCCUAGGCGGCGCCGUCGAAGGAGCUAUGGGCGGGCCGUACACGGAGGCGCGGGCAUAAAGGGGAGGAGAACGCACGGUAUGUCGGAUGCGAUCAUACCAGCACUAAAGCACCGGAUCCCAUCAGAACUCCGAAGUUAAGCGUGCUUGGGCGAGAGUAGUACUAGGAUGGGUGACCUCCUGGGAAGUCCUCGUGUUGCAUUCCUUUUUUUUGUUUGUUUUUUCAAAAGAAAGGUCUUUCUUUUUAUUUUUGGCCGUUCCUUUGUCAUAUUUUCUCCGCGUUCCUAGGCGGCGCCGUCGAAGGAGCUAUGGGCGGGCCGUACACGGAUGCGUUUGUUUUUUCGGGAGAAAGGUCUUACUUUUGAUUUAUGGGCGUUCCUUUGUCAUAUUUUCUCCGCUUUCCUAGGCGGUCGCCGUCUAAGGAGCUAUGGGCGGGCCGUACACUGAGGCGCGUGCCUUCCGGGGAGGAGAACGCAUGGUAUGUCGGAUGCGAUCAUGCCAGCACUAAAGCACCGGAUCCCAUCAGAACUCCGAACUUAAGCGUGCUUGGGCGAGAGUAGUACUCAGGAUGGGUGACCUCCUGGGAAGUCCUCGUGUUGCCUUCCUUUUAUGCGCAUGCCUUUUCCGGAGACGGGUCUCUCUUCAGAUCUAUGGCCGUUCCUUUGUCAUAUGUUCUCCGCGUUCCUAGGCGGCGCCGUCGAAGGAGCUAUGGGCGGGCCGUACACGGAGGCGCGGGCAUAAAGGGGAGGAGAACGCACGGUAUGUCGGAUGCGAUCAUACCAGCACUAAAGCACCGGAUCCCAUCAGAACUCCGAAGUUAAGCGUGCUUGGGCGAGAGUAGUACUAGGAUGGGUGAC